rnacentral:rRNA from 1 species
GUGGGGAAUCUUAGACAAUGGGCGCAAGCCUGAUCUAGCCAUGCCGCGUGAGCGAUGAAGGCCUUAGGGUUGUAAAGCUCUUUCGUGGGGGAAGAUAAUGACUGUACCCCAAGAAGAAGCCCCGGCUAACUCCGUGCCAGCAGCCGCGAUAAUACGGAGGGGGCUAGCGUUGUUCGGAAUUACUGGGCGUAAAGCGCACGUAGGCGGACUGGAAAGUCAGGGGUGAAAUCCCGGGGCUCAACCCCGGAACUGCCUUUGAAACUCCCAGUCUUGAGUUCGAGAGAGGUGAGUGGAAUUCCGAGUGUAGAAGUGAAAUUCGUAGAUAUUCGGAGGAACACCAGUGGCGAAGGCGGCUCACUGGCUCGAUACUGACGCUGAGGUGCGAAAGCGUGGGGAGCAAACAGGAUUAGAAACCCGUGUAGUCC